rnacentral:rRNA from 1 species
GAUGAACGCUGGCGGCGUGCCUAAUACAUGCAAGUCGAGCGAAUGGAUUAAGAGCUUGCUCUUAUGAAGUUAGCGGCGGACGGGUGAGUAACACGUGGGUAACCUGCCCAUAAGACUGGGAUAACUCCGGGAAACCGGGGCUAAUACCGGAUAACAUUUUGAACCGCAUGGUUCGAAAUUGAAAGGCGGCUUCGGCUGUCACUUAUGGAUAGACCCGCGUCGCAUUAGCUAGUUGGUGAGGUAACGGCUCACCAAGGCAACGAUGCGUAGCCGACCUGGGAGGGUGAUCGGCCACACUGGGACUGAGACACGGCCCAGACUCCUACGGGAGGCAGCAGUAGGGAAUCUUCCGCAGUGGACGAAAGUCUGACGGAGCAACGCCGCGUGAGUGAUGAAGGCUUUCGGGUCGUAAAACUCUGUUGUUAGGGAAGAACAAGUGCUAGUUGAAUAAGCUGGCACCUUGACGGUACCUAACCAGAAAGCCACGGCUAACUACGUGCCAGCCGCCGCAGUAA